GAUUCCGGCUUCAUCCGACGUCCGAUCGAGGCGAUUCAGGUGGCGUUGAAAAGCUUGUUCCGAGACCUUUCUUUUGAUACCAAUUUUGCAACAAAUGGAGGUCGGAUGAGUGAGAUAUGGAGGAGAGAAGUUUCGGGUUUUUUAAGCUUUUUCGUCAGAUCUACGAAGAUCCGACCGUUGGAUCGACAAUCCGAGACCACCUAUGGACUGAGGAAGAGGAGAGGAACAUGGUGGUAUGAUCAGAUCCGGCAAAUGUCACCGGCGACCGAUGGCCGGCCACCGUGCGCGGUGGUUCCGGCAGUGGCUCUGGUGGGCUAUGGAGAUGAUUCAACUUCCAGAGGCUUCCUCGUAAAUUUUUUGAAUUUUUGAGACACAGAUAAACUUCGGGUGAUCGAGGUCAGCUAUUUUUCUGCAUCCAGCAGCCACAAUAGUCAUCGGUGUACUGCCACAAGAGGAGACAUUUUUCAGAAUAACCUGUCCCUUUUCUCACAGGUUAUGAAAAGAUUACUUAACUGUAUUAUUAUUAUCUAAAUUUGUAAUUUAGAACUCCGCAUGUACUAGUAGUAGCAUUAAUCCUGUCAGGGAUUGC